UACGUGGGGAGCAAGCGUUGUCCGGAAUCAUUGGGCGUAAAGCGCGCGUAGGUGGCUUCGUAAGUCCGUUGUGAAAGUCAAAGGCUCAACCUUUGAAAGCCGAUGGAUACUACGGAGCUAGAGUACGGAAGAGGCGAGUGGAAUUCCUGGUGUAGCGGUGGAAUGCGCAGAUAUCAGGAGGAACACCAAUAGCGAAGGCAGCUCGCUGGGACGUUACUGACACUGAGGCGCGAAAGCGUGGGGAGCGAACAGG
rnacentral:rRNA from 1 species